AUGGCGCUACUUCCUCGUCUCCUUCUGGUGGCCCUUCUCCUCGUCGCCGUCACCGGCGAGGCGGACGCCGGCGGCGCUGGCCACGGCCAGGCGCGCUACGACCGCGUCUUCAGCUUCGGCGACUCGCUCACCGACACCGGCAACUCGGCCAUCCUCCCGGUCACCGCCGGGGGACCCUUCACCAACCCGCCGUACGGGCAGACCCACUUUGGCCGGCCCAACGGCAGGGCCUCCGACGGCCGCCUCGUCAUCGACUUCAUCGUGGAGUCUCUGGGGUUGCCGCCGCCAACUCCGUACCUCGCCGGCAAGACCGCGGUCGACUUCCUGCACGGCGCCAACUUCGCGGUGGGCGGCGCGACGGCGCUUGACCCGGCGUUCCUGCAGAGCAGAGGGAUCACAUCGUUCGUGCCGGUCUCUCUCAGCAACCAGACGAGCUGGUUCAACGGUGUUUUGCAGCUUCUCGACUCCACAGGCAACGGGCAGCGCAAGAUCAUGGCGAGCUCCCUCCUGUACCUGGGCGAGAUCGGAUUCAACGACUACUCUUUCGUCGCCGUCUUCGGCAACGGCACCGUGGGCCUGGCGCAGAGUCUGGUGCCGCACAUCGUCGGUGCCAUCCGUUCAGUCCUGACCGACGCGAUCGGUGUUGGAGCGCGGACGAUGGUGGUGGCGGGGAUGAUACCGAUGGGGUGCGAGCCGGAGCUGCUCGCCCUCCUACCCGGCGGCGCGGGCGACUACUACGACCGGGCGUCCGGCUGCAUCGCGCGGUUCAACCAGCUCGCCCAGCUGCACAACCGCGCGCUGAAGCGCAUGCUCUGCCAGCUCCGGCGAGACCACCCCGGCGCGGCCAUCCACUACGCCGAUCUGUACCGCCUCAUCGCCGCAGUCGUCUCCUCGCCCAGAAAAUACGGUGCUGCAUGUCACAGCCUUUCCUCUCUCCAGUUGAUCCGCAUGCCAUCGGUUUCGGUUCUAACAAAUGUAUGGUUUUUCUUGGCGCGCAUCGCGUGUGUAUCUGUGGCAGGCUUCGGCGACAUGCCCUUGGCAGCGUGCUGCGGCGGCGGCGGCGGGCCGUACAACUUCAACUUCACCUUCUUCUGCGGCACUCCGGCGGCGAUCGCGUGCGCCGAUCCGUCGGAAUCCGUUUCGUGGGAUGGGAUCCAUUACACGGAGGCUGCAAAUAGGUUCGUUGCACACGCCAUACUGAGGGGAUUGUAA
rnacentral:rRNA from 1 species